ACGAACGCUGGCGGCGUGCUUAACACAUGCAAGUCGAACGGGAUAAUUUGAGAGCUUGCUCUUAGAGAAUCUAGUGGCAAACGGGUGAGUAACACGUAGACAACCUGCCGACAGGAUGGGGACAACAUUCCGAAAGGAAUGCUAAUACCGAAUGAAGCGGAGGAGAGGCAUCUCUCCUCCGUGAAAGAUGGCCUCUGAAUAUGCUAUCACCUGUCGAUGGGUCUGCGUCUGAUUAGCUAGUUGGUGAGGUAACGGCUCACCAAGGCGACGAUCAGUAGCCGGUCUGAGAGGAUGAACGGCCACAUUGGGACUGAGACACGGCCCAGACUCCUACGGGAGGCAGCAGUGGGGAAUCUUCCGCAAUGGGCGCAAGCCUGACGGAGCAACGCCGCGUGAGUGAAGAAGGGCUUCGGAUCGUAAAGCUCUGUUGACGGGGACGAACGUGCGAAGGGUGAAUAAUCCUUUGUAAUGACGGUACCUGUCGAGGAAGCCACGGCUAACUACGUG
rnacentral:rRNA from 1 species